AUACGUAGGGGGCGAGCGUUGUCCGGAAUGAUUGGGCGUAAAGGGCGCGUAGGCGGCCCGGUAAGUCUGGAGUGAAAGUCCUGUUUUUAAGAUGGGAAUUGCUUUGGAUACUGUCGGGCUUGAGUGCAGGAGAGGUAAGUGGAAUUCCCAGUGUAGCGGUGAAAUGCGUAGAGAUUGGGAGGAACACCAGUGGCGAAGGCGACUUACUGGACUGUAACUGACGCUGAGGCGCGAAAGUGUGGGGAGCAAACAGGAUUAGAUACCCUGGUAGUCCACACUGUAAACGAUGAGUGCUAGGUGUAGGGGGUAUCGACCCCUUCUGUGCCGCAGUCAUCACAAUAAGCAUUCCGCCUGGGGAGUACGGCCGCAAGGUUGAAACUCAAAGGAAUUGACGGGG
rnacentral:rRNA from 1 species